AGACUUCUGUAACAGCCCUGUAAAUAUUCAUAUAACUUACGUCAUCCGCAUCCGGCAUCCGUCGGAUUGCACGCACUGAACAGAAAUCGUGGCGACACGAACACAUUUACACCAACCUGUCGGUCGGCCCCCGGCAGACAAAGAGAGAAAUUUUUUGAAAGAUUUACACGCGAGGGGUAUGUGGAAGUAUGGAAAACAGGGGUCCUUUGAUUGUAUGUUAAAGCAGCGUUAAAGCUGCGCGCUAUGUUAGAGCGACUGUGAGUCUGUGGGAUUUAGAAAACGUUUCCGUCUCGCCCUCACCAGUGCAGGCACCUAUGUUCUAGCGUUUUUAUUCUGGCGCGUGCUAAGUCUUGACCAGUCGUGGGACAAAGGCAAGAAAACAUUUCCGUCUCGCGCUAACCUACAUAUUCAUCUAUGUGGUUGCGUUCCUAUUCUGGCAUAAAGACACCAUUUUGGCUGCGCAGUUGGCUGUAAGCUAAUUCCGGGGUGGACGCAUCGCUGGACUUAGAAGUUAUUCGAUUUGUUUGUACAUGAAUGAUGCGCGUAAUUUUACAAAACAAGUGCAUUUGUGUGGUGCAGUGCGAUUCGCUAACUAUUCAGCAUUCAUCGUGUUACUAAAAUCGAAUAGCACUUGAUAGCAGUUAGUAACAGCUGCCAAUAGACGCAAAUAAGAAGCAGAAAAGAACGCAUAACAUUGGCCACAGGUCACACAGUGAAACGAAAAGCACUUAAAACCUAUUCUCAUUCUCAAAUCGGUGCAGCCGUUUCGGAGGAAUUUGCACAAAAACAUCAGACCGCGACACGAGAAUUUUAUAGAUAAAUAUAAAUAGAAGGAGAUAUCAAAGGAAGUACGGAAGAUAAACCAACCAGACUUUCAGUACACCUUCAAACGAAUUAAAAUGAGCAAAAGACCUAACAGCGACAUUACCCCUUCACAAGCACCAAAAGCACCGCGAACAAACGAUGAACCCAUGCCGCAUACAUCCAACGCAAAUCCUGUACCGGACAACGAAAGAAACCAGUUGAAAAGCAUUACAGCCACGGAACAUCAUGAACCCGUCGACAAGAAUAUAUCUUUAAAGAAACAACAUCUCUUAUCCGUCAUAGAGGUAUCGAAACCGAAAUCUACUAUACAUGGCGAAUGGUAUAACACAUAUUUGGCCAUUACGAUUAUUCUCCACCAAUUUAACAAAUCAACUAAUUAUCGACAUGAAUCAAAAACGAUCAAAACGAACAAACAAAAGAACGACUUUAUAGUUGCAGUGGAAGUAGCAGAAGCAGGAAAAUUCGACGACAUCCUGUUUUAUUUCUCAUCACCAAAAGGACUUUUCACUUUCUGCAUACAAGCGAAGCACAAACUAAAUGCUGGAAAAACAACAAGCAGUAACGUUUUUAUUAAAAAAAAAGAUCUAUGCGCCACUAGUGGUGAAUUCUCGAUUCCCGUGUACUUUUUGUCAUAUCUUAAGAUUAAUCAGAAACUAACAAAAGGUGAAUCUAAUACCCAAAAUGAUGAAUGUAUAACACGGUAUGUCAUAUGUACUAAUGCUGUGCUUCAUAAUAACGUUCAAUUCUAUUUUACGGAAAUCGAACCGGAAAAAGAUGAUAGUUUACAAUUUUGUGAAGCUAUAGGAGCAACAUGUUAUAAAUUGCACGGUGAAAUACCCGAUCUAAACGAACAAUUAAAAAUAAUGUAUAAACAGGAACUUAACACAGAUUCGGAAUUUUAUGAGAAAAAAUACGAGUUCUUUAGUAAAUUUCUGCUUAUAUGUAACUCCAAAAAUCAAGAACAACUACGUCUAAAAGCUAUGAACCUGUUGCCAAAGUGGUGUGAUAAAGCUCAACAUGAAAUAAUAAUUAAUGAUUUCGUGGGUUUACUGAAUAAUAGCAUUUACAGCAACCCACGUUAUGGCGUAGACCUUGAGCGUUUGCAAAACUGGUUUUUGGAAAAUCAUCUCAACCAAAACAUUAGUGGUCUGAUGCGUUUGUCAGAAGACCAUCGGGAGGCAGUCCUCGAAAAACAUCGUAAUAUUGAAGUAAAGCCGGAAAGUUUGGAAAAAUUAAAGUUGUUUCAAUUUCUAAAGGAUUCGGGUUCUGGAAUUUAUGAGUUUAACAGCACGCUUGAUUUGACAGUUAGCUCUCGCAUUUUACUUCAAGCGCUAUCGCUAUUAACAUAUGAAACAAUAUUCAUUGAUAGCACAAAGUAUGCAAGACAGCAAGAUAUGAAUGAUGUCCUCAAGGUUUUGCUGUUGUAUCUUAGAGAUGUAAAUCAUCCUACUAUCAAAGUGGUAACGAUAUUAGGAAAGCACGAUCAUACAUCCAUAAAUGAGAUGAAGGAAUUAGUAGAAAAAUAUCGUCAAAAGAUCGUUGUUGUAGGAAAUAUUGAUGGAAGUAUACAAGAUGAAGAUAUUUCUGAUAGAAUUGUUGUGAAUGAUCUCUCAGAUAAAGCUUCGACAGAUUUGUACACGCAAGCUGAACGACCGAUUUUUGGUUCAACAACGGCAUUGAGCAGCAUUGUGGAAAAAAGCGACGAUUUAACCUUUUUAUUAAAUGUAUUAGAUCCAUGUGACCAAUUGAGGAUGAAAAUAGACCACAAUUUAAAUGAGAUGAAUUAUAAAAGUAUUAAACACUGGUACGUUCCUCGCCAUAUUGUUCCUUAUGAGCAGUCGGGGUUGGAUUUGACGUCGAAACGAGGGAUGUAUGUGGUUUCAUCGGAAGAGGGAGCGGCAGCUUUAGCCGCGAACGACGAAGAAUGUAUUCCACCAGAUUUUCAAGACACUGACAGAGGCAAGGUGUUUAUUUUCCUGAACGAUGCAGGAUUCGGUAAAAGCACCUACUUUACCUCGUUAGCCUAUUGUUUGUCAACUUUCGAUCCAUCUCUCUACAUUAUCAAGUUUAUCGCGAUGGAAUUUUCGACCGAUUUUAAACUGUUGAAAGAGAGCAAUGUAGAAAAUCUAAACGAUACACAAAUUGUGAGGUUAUUGUAUCGAUACAUACAUUUAGCGCUGUUCGUACCGAGUAUCAACAAAAGCGACAUUAAAAAGACUGAUACUAUAAGAAAAGAGGCCGAUCUUUGUGCAAAUCUGCUGACAGUUUUAAGCAGUAAAAUAGUAUUGGAUGAAUCGAAGACCAACAUGCUCUCCAUGGAAGAUCUGAUCGAAUUGCGCUUGUUCCAGGAAAAGUUUAACCAUCAGAAGAUUGUGUUAAUACUGGACGGAUUCGAUGAGACCGCGCCAUGGUACAAGGAUGUGGUCAUGAAGUGUUUCGGUCGAUUCUCUCAUCUUGAAGGAGUCAGAUCUUUAUUCCUGUCUAGUCGACCUUACGGGUUCAAAGAUGAUUUGAAGAAAACCUUCGAACAAUGUCGAAUGUAUGGGUUAAACCUAUUUUCAGAGAAAGAUAUUCAGAAUUCCAUUCACAUAUUUCUUAAUAACAAAUUAGAUGGUUAUGAGCAUUACGAAACGGAUCAUCAAAUUGAUAUAGUCGAGGAGCUGUUUGAAAUAUUCUACUAUGUUUUGAAAGAUAUGCUAAGAAUUCCAUUGUUGCUGUACAUGGUUCAGAUUAUCUUAUUACCCGAAAUAAAGAAGCGUGUGAAUGAAUUUACACACACAAUAUCGGAUGAAAUGUUGUACGAAACAAAAUUUGGCAUACUUUAUCUGGUUGAAGAGUUUGUAAGUAGAAAGAUGAAAAUAUUAUUCACAGCUAAAAAAGGAGCUACCGAUUCUGCUGUUAACGUCUCUGCAGCCAAAAAAUUCGAAGAUCGAUUCAAACAAGAAAUUAAGGAACAGCACAUUCUGUUGGCCUUAUACGUUCUUUUCGAUAAAAACGAUCUAGCACAACUAUUGUCCGAGAAGGAACGGAAGCAUGCUAACGAGAUAAUGGAGGAAGUCAACCAAGGCGAUGAAAAAACGGGAAUCGUCCUUGGGGUACAAAAUGGCGUGCCUCAAUUCCUGCAUCGAACAUUUGCAGAGUAUUUCACUGCUUGUUGGUUGUUUGAAAACAGAGAACGAUUUAAAGAUGAAAGCAUUUUUCACUCACAAACGAUUUGGUCGGAUUCUUUAAGGAAAACCCGCGAAUUUUUUGACCGACUUAUACUUCGAGAAAGCAAAGAUUGUCAUUUACACUUGGCACUGGUGAACGAAUCCGAAACACAAAUUGAAGACAUUCUGGACAAUAAUCCUUCUGCAGUUACUGUCCCGGACAUGGUUGGCCGCUUACCAUUGCAUUUUGCAGAAUAUUUAGAUGGUUUUGA